rnacentral:ncRNA from 2 species
CUCUUAUCAAGAGCAGGUGGAGGGAUUUGGCCCUAUGAAACCCAGCAACCGACCGUAAUACCAUUGUGAAAUGGGGCGCUUAUGCGCCAAAAAGGCACGGUGCUAAUUCCAGCAGAAAAUGAAUUUUCUGGCAGAUAAGAG